rnacentral:rRNA from 1 species
GGGGAAUAUUGCACAAUGGGCGCAAGCCUGAUGCAGCCAUGCCGCGUGUGUGAAGAAGGCCUUCGGGUUGUAAAGCACUUUCGGCGGGGAGGAAGGCGGUGAGGUUAAUAACCUUGUCGAUUGACGUUACCCGCAGAAGAAGCACCGGCUAACUCCGUGCCAGCAGCCGCGGUAAUACGGAGGGUGCAAGCGUUAAUCGGAAUUACUGGGCGUAAAGCGCACGCAGGCGGUCUGUCAAGUCGGAUGUGAAAUCCCCGGGCUCAACCUGGGAACUGCAUUCGAAACUGGCAGGCUAGAGGCUUGUAGAGGGGGGUAGAAUUCCAGGUGUAGCGGUGAAAUGCGUAGAGAUCGGGAGGAAUACCGGUGGCGAAGGCGGCCCCCUGGACAAAGACUGACGCUCAGGUGCGAAAGCGUGGGGAGCAAAC